GAUGAACGCUGGCGGCGUGCGUAAUACAUGCAAGUCGAACGGAGUGCUAGCAAUAGUACUUAGUGGCGCACGGGUGAGUAAUGUAUAGAUAACCUGCCCUUAAGAAAGGAAUAACAGUUGGAAACGACUGCUAAUGCCCUAUAUGCCUUUAAUACAUAAGUAUGCAAGGGAAACGCUUUAGUGCUUAAGGAUGGGUCUGUAUGGUAUCAGCUUGUUGGUGAGGUAAUGGCUCACCAAGGCUAUGACGCCUAACUGGUUUGAGAGGAUGAUCAGUCACACUGGAACUGAGACACGGUCCAGACUCCUACGGGAGGCAGCAGUGGGGAAUAUUGGACAAUGGGCGGAAGCCUGAUCCAGCAACGCCGCGUGAGGGAUGACGGCCUUCGGGUUGUAAACCUCUUUCAGCACAGACGAAGCGCCCUGUCGGGUGGUGACGGUAUGUGCAGAAGAAGGACCGGCCAACUACGUGCCAGCCGCCGCCGUAACAC
rnacentral:rRNA from 1 species